GCAUAACGCGAAGAACCUUACCUACUCUUGACAUCUACGGAAGAUUGCAGAGAUGCAGUUGUGCCUUCGGGAACGCUAAGACAGGUGCUGCAUGGCUGUCGUCAGCUCGUGUUGUGAAAUGUUGGGUUAAGUCCCGCAACGAGCGCAACCCUUAUCCUUAGUUGCCAGCACGUAAUGGUGGGAACUCUAGGGAGACUGCCGGUGAUAAACCGGAGGAAGGUGGGGACGACGUCAAGUCAUCAUGGCCCUUACGAGUAGGGCUACACACGUGCUACAAUGGUACGUACAGAGGGAGGCAAGCUGGCGACAGUGAGCGGAUCUCUUAAAGCGUAUCGUAGUCCGGAUCGCAGUCUGCAACUCGACUGCGUGAAGUCGGAAUCGCUAGUAAUCGCAAAUCAGAAUGUUGCGGUGAAUACGUUCCCGGGUCUUGUACACACCG
rnacentral:rRNA from 1 species